rnacentral:lncRNA from 10 species
GCUCGUCGGUGUGGGGUUCGAGGCGGUUGAGUGAGACGAGACGCGCCCCUCCCACGCGGGGAAGGGCGCCCGCCUGGUCCGGCGAGCGCACGUCCGGUGCUCCCCUCUGGCGGGGUCUCACUCUGUCACCCAGGGUGGAGUGCAGUGGUGCAAUUAUGGCUCACUGUAGUCUUGAUCUCCUGGGCUCAAGCAGUCCUCCCAACUCAGCUCCCAAGUAGCUAGAACUACAGAAAUACUAGGCUUUAGAAUUUCACCAUAUGAAUUUUGGGAGAGAGGAGCACAGUUCAGCCCAUAACUAACACACGUGAUGAAGAAGACAUGCCAACAGAGGGUUAAUUCCAGAUAAAAUGAAAUGUUCCAAACAACGGAAUGAAGUUGAUAAUAGUGAGACCUUGUUGGUACAAGACUAUGUAACAUAACCUGCGCUUCUCAACAAAGAAUUGCUUUUCUGACUUCUGCACUCAAUAGCAAGACAAAUCUCUCCUCUGCCUUCUCCUUAUCAGACUACUCAACAUGAAGGCAAUAAGAAUGAAGACCUCUAUGUAUAAUAAUUGACUUCCACUUAAUAAAUAAGGUUACUUGGUACACUGGUCGACAAAACCUUGAAAUGUUGAUGUUUAAGGGCUGUUGAUUGCUGGCAGCAAAGAAGUCCAACUGUGCUGGUACCCGAGAUAGCGUCUCCACAUUUUCUUCCAGGAUCAUCACCUUUGUUCUAAAUAGCUCCCACAUAGUGUGAACAGAAGUCAUAUGUUUUAGAUUUUCUGCCUUGGCACCCAGG